UUAACUCAUCAAUAAAAUUUAGUCAAAAUGUACACAUGCUUUGAUUCAAAUUACUCAUCAUGGUGUUCACAUAAUCAUAUAAUCUUCCAACAGAUGCUAUUCUCAUGAAUGAUCAAUUAGCUAAGCAUAAAUAUAAUCAUGAAUUCCUGGAAUCAUUCCUCACCAGAUAAAGUGUUUCACUCAAUCACACAUGUGUUUCAAGAGGCUCCUUCCCUCUACUAUCUAUAUGUCACAUAGAACAAAAUUACUUUUCAUUUGCCACAAUCAAACAUCACCACAUACACAUGUCAUCACAAGGACUUUUCAAGGCUUAUAAUGUGGUUGGGCUAAAAAGGAAAAUUGGUUUUUCUAGAUCAUAAAACCCUUGAGUUAAGAGAGUUAUUAUACAUUCAUAGUUAAAGCACAAACUCUCUCUUUUUACCAAUCUCACUCAUUCCCAACUUUCCCUUUUCUUCACAUUGAGCUUUUCUUUUCAUGCUUUGCUUUUUCUAUCUUUUUCAUCUUUUCUCAUGCAUUUUCUUUUCAACUCAUAAGCUCAAUGUCUAACUUUUCUUUUCUUUUUCAAUUCUCCCAACAACCCCAAACUUGAACCUUUAAUAAUACCCCAA
rnacentral:lncRNA from 1 species